AGCUGGCUCUGUGUCUUUCCACAUUCCACAAGUCCCAAAGCUUUCAAGCCUUUCAAAUGGGAACGCUACUACUAACUGAAAGCCUCCAAAAUCUCACAAGGAUAACUGAUGUCACAGUAACUUUGGAGAAAAAGGCUCUCUUCCUUAUUUGUGCCUAACUGAAAGAAGUUUAACCAGAAACAUCUUGAAAAGAAGAAGAGGAAACACAAAUGGCUUUGUCAACAAGUUGCAUCGUGAUCUCAUCUUUGUAAACUCCAAAAGUCAAGAAACUAUCCUGAACCCCAGCCUGGAGUCUACAA